rnacentral:rRNA from 1 species
GACGAACGCUGGCGGCGUGCCUAAUACAUGCAAGUCGAACGAGAGCGACCGGUGCUUGCACUGGUCAACCUAGUGGCGAACGGGUGAGUAACACGUGGGUAACCUGCCCAUCAGAGGGGGAUAACAUCCGGAAACGGAUGCUAAAACCGCAUAGGUCUUCGAACCGCAUGGUUUGAAGAGGAAAAGAGGCGCAAGCUUCUGCUGAUGGAUGGACCCGCGGUGCAUUAGCUAGUUGGUGAGGUAACGGCUCACCAAGGCCGUGAUGCAUAGCCGACCUGAGAGGGUGAUCGGCCACAUUGGGACUGAGACACGGCCCAAACUCCUACGGGAGGCAGCAGUAGGGAAUCUUCCGCAAUGGACGCAAGUCUGACGGAGCAACGCCGCGUGAGUGAAGAAGGUUUUCGGAUCGUAAAACUCUGUUGUUAGAGAAGAACAAGUGCUAGAGUAACUGUUAGCGCCUUGACGGUAUCUAACCAGAAAGCCACGGCUAACUACGUG